rnacentral:rRNA from 1 species
CCAAUAGCGUAUAUUAAAGUUGUUGCAGUUAAAAAGCUCGUAGUUGAAUUUCGGGAUCAAGGAAUCGGUCAUGCCUUGGUAUGUACUGGUUUUAUUGGUUCUCACCUUCUAAAGAACCAUAAUGUCAUUUAUUUGAUGUUAUGGGGAAUUAGGACUGUUACCUUGAAAAAAUUAGAGUGUUUAAAGCAAGCUUACGCUGGAAUACAUUAGCAUGGAAUAAUGAAAUAGGAAAUCAGAUUCUACUUUGUUGGUUUCUAGGAUCGAUGUAAUGAUUAAUAGGGAUAGUUGGGGGCAUUAGUAUUCAAUUGUCAGAGGUGAAAUUCUUGGAUUUAUUGAAGACUAACUACUGCGAAAGCAUUUGCCAAGGAUGUUUUCAUUAAUCAAGAACGAAAGUUAGGGGAUCGAAGACGAUCAGAUACCGUCGUAGUCUUAACCAUAAACUAUGCCGACUAGGGAUCGGAUGAUGUUAAUUUUUUAAUGACUCAUUCGGCACCUUACG